rnacentral:lncRNA from 1 species
ACCAAAGUCGGACUUGUUUGUAGUCUAUGUGGAUUCUAGUACCUACUAGAAAAUUAAAGUAAUUUUUUGAAUUGGAGGUAGAGGCUACCAAUUUGAAUAAAAUAAUGGGAGAACCUUGAAACUAAAGUCCAAGUCUCUAGGCCUAAAAUAAUUCAUAUACAUUAGGUCAUUAUUCUUUUUUCUCAAAAUAAGGCUAAACCUUAAUUACUCCAAUCGUUGUUAGACAGUGAUGACUUAUGGGACCC